rnacentral:rRNA from 1 species
AGCCCUAAGUGGGUGGUAAACUCCAUCUAAGGCUAAAUAUGACCACGAGACCGAUAGCGAACAAGUACCGUGAGGGAAAGUUGAAAAGCACUUUGAAGAGAGAGUUCAAGAGUACGUGAAACCGUUUAGGGGUAAACCUGAGAAACCCGAAAGGUCGAAGGGAGAAAUUCAUUCGCGUUUCGCCGUCGGCGUGAGACGGUCGAGCGACGGAGAUCGUUUACGUGAUCCGCGCCUUCCGUUUUUCGAUCCUUCGGCGAACGCGUGCACUUUUCUCCUGGUAGGACGUCGCGAUCCGUUGGGCGUCGGUCUACGGCUCACGGUGGAGCCCGGUCGUUCAUUCGAUCGGACCCGUGUGAUUACCCGGCCGGCACGCUCGACGGUAUCGAUAAGGCCGAAGGCCGCUUUUAAAGCGUUCGACUCGUGGCAAGCGCGUCGGAUGUGCUGGCGAUCGGACCUAGUGCCGAUUCUGGCCUCCGGCGACUGUUGGUCGCGAUGCUCUCGGACAGACCUUCCGUGGCCGAUCUGCGACGCUAUAGCUUUGGGUACUUUCAG